ACGCCCCCCGACUUUGCCAGUUCUCCCCGCGGUCUGUCUGUGGAUCUGCCUGCUCUUUGGGAAACUGGCUCCUGUGAUCAGAGCUGGAGACUGUCCAUCAGAGCCUCUGUGAGGGAGCUGUGUUACACAGGAUAGGAUCUCUGACAGGACUGGAUACUUACACAGAAAAUCGUGAUGACAAAAUGGCUGCCUCCACUGCCUCCAAGACUCAGUGCAUUCCCCCUGUGUUUUAAAAAUGACCGGAGCUAAUUGGCUGGUGAUACGCCCGGAUUGGAGGGCUUAGCUCUACGAUCCUUGGCACCUUCCACCCUUCGAGGGUACAGAAACGCUAUGGGAGAGUGGGAGAGAUAUGUCCGUUUACAUCAGGACCAAGAUUUGCGCUUGGACGAGUGUCCGAUAUGGAUUAUUGGGCACUCAUAUGUUUACUAUGGUGAGAGGUCUGGUGUGGAGUGCCUUCAGUCCCUUGAAGCUAAUCUUAUCAGAUGGAUCGUGUGAGGGGACUUCGCUGGGAGCAAGUCAUGCCCCUAUUUUGGCAACAGUCGGAGAGGUCGGGAUACCCGCUGAGGGUGGUGUUCCAUGCUGCUGGAAAUGAUUUGACCAGAAGUACGGGUCUCGAUCUUCGCAAAACUAUAGUCAGGGACUUAGUUAGCUUGCAGAACAGGUUGUGUUUUCUGAGUGUGGGAUGGUCGGACAUUAUCCCACGUUUGGUUUGGAGAGAUGCGGACAGACCGGCUGCCAUAGAGUUGGUCCGGCGCCGGAUCAAUUCUGUGGUGGACAGGGCUGUUAGUGAAAAGUGGGGGUUUGUGGUCCCACAUCCCUCAAUUAUAGUUUUUGCCCCUCAUCCUUACAUGGCCGAUGGUGUCCAUCUGAAUUUGAUGGGUAUGAAAUUUUUUAUGGAGGAUCUGUAUGUAGUCAGGAAUUUUAUUGAUAGGUAGAAGGAGUUUAGGAGUAGAAGAGGAGUUUUAAGGUAGAGGUAUGGUGGCGGGGGUUUCGUUGAAACUGUGGUGGGUUGGGAUGGCCUGAAAUUGUGGCUGUAAUUUAAAGAGUUUUAUAGGUGCUCAGGAGAUGUGAAGGUGGUGGAGUUUGAUACAUUACGGGGCCGGAGUUCCAUCGGACCAGGUGGGCUUCGGUCUCCGGUGGAGUUGGUACACACCUGAGCACCUUUUGGUUUGGAGUUGGGGAAUACCUUGAGUGGAGAGUUGGCCACGGUAUUCCCGGAAAAGAGCAAGUAACACAAGGGGUGGCAAAUGGCCCAUUAUGGCCCCUUGUGAUGUGUGGGGGGCUGGUCUGAAAUUGGGCCCUUUAAAGCCUCCCCUUGUGAUGUGAUGGGGGCUGGGCUGAAAUUGGGCCCUUUAAAGCCUCCCCUUGUGAUGCAAUGAAAGCCGGGCUGAAGUUGGGCCCUUGCCUCCUCUUGUGUUUUGGUCAGCCACAGUAAAAAGGUUUUAAAAGGUUAGAAUAAAUAGGGACUUUAUUUAAAUAGGCCGUCCCUCCUUGCCACCAUACCAUUUGUUUAAUAAAAGCUGACAAUGUUAUUGGCAAACAUUA